rnacentral:rRNA from 1 species
AACGCGAAGAACCUUACCUGGGCUCGAACGGCUUCUCAACGGCGGUGGAAACACCGCUAUCCCUUAAAAGAGUGGAGUCGAGGUGCUGCAUGGCUGUCGUCAGCUCGUGUCGUGAGAUGUUGGGUUAAGUCCCGCAACGAGCGCAACCCUUAUCCCUAGUUGCCAUCGGGUCAAGCCGGGCACUCUAGUGAAACUGCCUCGGAUAACGAGGAGGAAGGUGGGGAUGACGUCAAGUCCUCAUGGCCUUUAUGUCCAGGGCUACACACGUGCUACAAUGGCCGGUACAAACCGUCGCAAACCCGUGAGGGGGAGCUAAUCGGAAAAAGCCGGCCUCAGUUCGGAUUGGAGUCUGCAACUCGACUCCAUGAAGCUGGAAUCGCUAGUAAUCGCGGAUCAGAACGCCGCGGUGAAUACGUUCCCGGGCCUUGUACACACCGCUAGUC